rnacentral:rRNA from 1 species
CACCGCGGUUAUACGAGAGACCCAAGUUGACACCCAUCAGCGUAAAGAGUGGUUAAUUAAUUACAAUCAUUAAAGUAGAAUGUCCCCAAGACUGUUAUACGUAUUCGAGGAUAAGAAGCUCACUCAACGAAAGUAACUUUAUAAUAUUGAUGCCACGAAAGCUGUGAAA